UACGUAGGGUGCAAGCGUUAAUCGGGAUUACUGGGCGUAAAGCGUGCGCAGGCGGUUUUUGUAAGCCAGAUGUGAAAGCCCCGGGCUCAACCUGGGAACUGCGUUUGGAACUACAAGACUAGAGUGUGUCAGAGGGGGGUGGAAUUCCGCGUGUAGCAGUGAAAUGCGUAGAGAUCUGGAGGAAUACCGAUGGCGAAGGCAGCCCCUGGCCUGAUACUGACACUGAGGUGCGAAAGCAUGGGGAGCAAACAGGAUUAGAAACCCCUGUAGU
rnacentral:rRNA from 1 species